GAGUUAACAAACUCCCAAACCUUUGUGAACAUACCACUGUUGCUUCGGCGGGAUCGUCCCGGGCGCGCUUCACGGCGUGACCCGGACCCAGGCGCCCGCCGGAGGACCCCAACUCUUGUUUUUAUAGUGUCUCUUCUGAGUGGUAUAAGCAAAUAAUUAAAACUUUCAGCAACGGAUCUCUUGGUUCU
rnacentral:misc_RNA from 1 species